AAGUCGUAACAAGGUCUCCGUAGGUGAACCUGCGGAGGGAUCAUUAACACGUUUACACAAACGUAUACCAACCAAUACCGUGAGCACUACCUAACCACAACCUCAAGCCAACACGUUGGAUGCUGGGCAAUGGUACUAUUGACUCUACCCUGUGUAGAGGCAGUGGUGCUGCUGCUUGGCUGGUUGCUUGAGUGUUUUUUAUUUUUUUAAACCCUUUUCCAAUUUUACCAUACGGUUUAUAGCUUGUUUGUGUGUGGAGCUCCGCUCUGCCGCAAUUCAUAUAAAUCAAUGUAAAGCACAACUCUUAGCAACGGAUAUCUUGGUUCUC
rnacentral:misc_RNA from 1 species